CCUGAGCGUGACUUGUGCAGAGAACAACUUCAAAACUUCAACUUCUAGGCCUUCCUUGGUUCUCCACCUUCAAGAACUUCAAUGUCUUUCCAAAACAAGCAAUGUUCCUACAAAAUUUGAGGAAAAGAGAUGAAAACUAACAUGUAACCUAAGCUAAGUUUUAUUCACAGAAUUGGAUAAAAUGAAGAGGAUCAAACAGGUUUAAAGCUUCAGGAGUGUUGAUUUGGCAUGAAAAAUGCACCAUAGAUAAGGGUAAGAAUUACCGUUAUUAGUGUCUUU
rnacentral:lncRNA from 1 species